rnacentral:rRNA from 1 species
GAGCACGUAGGUGGGUUUGUAAGUCAGACGUGAAAGCCUUCUGUUCAACGGAAGAAUUGCAUCUGAAACUACAAACCUUGAGUGUGGGAGGGGAGAAUGGAACUUCUGGUGGAGCGGUGAAAUGCGUAGAUAUCAGAAGGAACGCCGGCGGCGAAAGCGAUUCUCUGGCCUAUUACUGACACUCAGUGUGCGAAAGCUAGGGGAGCAAACGGGAUUAGAUACCCCGGUAGUCCUAGCCGUAAACGAUGGGCACUAAGUAGAGGGGU